AGCGGCGGACGGGCGAGUAACGCGUAAUCAACCUGCCCCCGAGACUGGAAUAGCCACUGGAAACGGUGGGUAAUGCCAGAUGGCCCCCCGGAUCGGCAUCGAUCUGUGGGUAAACGGUGGCGAAAGCUGCUGCUCGGGGAGGGGAUUGCGUCCUAUCAGCUAGUUGGCGAGGUAACGGCUCACCAAGGCGAUGACGGGUAGCUGGUCUGAGAGGACGACCAGCCGCACUGGGACUGAGAUACUGCCCAGACUCCUACGGGAGGCUGCAGUCGAGAAUCUUCCGCAAUGGGCGAAAGCCUGACGGAGCGACACCGCGUGCAGGACGAAGGCCCUCGGGUUGUAAACUGCUGUCACGCUCUAGGAAUGCCAUGUCGUUAAUAGCGGCAUGGUUGACCAAGGCGAAAGGAAGUGGCGGCUAACUCUGUGCCAGCAGCCGCGGUAAGACAGAGGCCACGAACGUUGUUCGGAAUCACUGGGCAUAAAGCGCACGUAGGCGGCCAAGUCCGUCGGAUGUGAAAGCCCCCGGCUCAACCGGGGAAUUGCAUCCGAUACAGCUUGGCUCGAGGACGGUUGGGGUGAGUGGAACUCCUGGUGGAGCGGUGAAAUGCGUAGAUAUCAGGAGGAACACCGGUGGCGAAAGCGGCUCACUGGACCGUAUCUGACGCUGAGGUGCGAAAGCUAGGGGAGCAAACGGGAUUAGAUACCCCGGUAGUCCUAGCCGUAAACGAUGGGCACUGGG
rnacentral:rRNA from 1 species